AUGAAGGAGAUAAGGAAAAGGACAUGUAAAUAAUGUCUGUAACAAUAUCGAAUCACUGAUCUUUGGCAUUGAGGAAGAAGGAACAGAGAAAAUGCGUCCUAUCUGAUAUGGGAUUAGGGGAUGAGGAACAAUUCCCAUGGCUGCCUGUCUCUCUAUGACCAAAAGUGUGCCCUUGUUGCAAGGAUAAAGGACCAUUUAUGUCCAGCAUUAUAAAAUAGAGGACCUAAAUGAGCCUAUCAUUAAAAUUAAGGGACUAUUCAGUGAUUUUGCAGCUGUAUUGCUAAUGAUCAGACAUUGAAAGGUGAUUUAUCAGAUGAGAGCCUCAAACAUGAAAAAGAGACUUUAAAAGGUAAUUUACUGUGCAUAUUAUAAUGUUGCUCAUGUAUAGUUGAUUGAUUGAUUCAGUCGAACAAAGCGAACUUCGUAUCCAACAAUUGUAGAAUCACAGCAUCCAUUUGCAUUCGAGCAGUACAGAAGUAU